rnacentral:piRNA from 1 species
CAAUAAGGAGGACUACAGAUAUG